rnacentral:rRNA from 1 species
UACGGAGGAUGCGAGCGUUAUCCAGAUUUAUUGGGUUUAAAGGGUGCGUAGGCGGGCUUUUAAGUCAGCGGUAAAAAUUCGGGGCUCAACCCCGUCCGGCCGUUGAAACUGGGGGUCUUGAGUGGGCGAGAAGAAGGCGGAAUGCGUGGUGUAGCGGUGAAAUGCAUAGAUAUCACGCAGAACCCCGAUUGCGAAGGCAGCCUUCCGGCGCCCUACUGACGCUGAGGCACGAAAGUGCGGGGAUCGAACAGG